rnacentral:lncRNA from 1 species
AGCCAACAUUUGAGAAAAGGUUCACCGAUUUCUGGAUUUCUCGAUUUUCCGCCAAUAAGUGAUUUCUCGAUUUUUCCAAACUCAUAUUCCUCCACCAAUCAAAAAUCAAACAGAAUUGGGAUGAAAAGGUUCACCAUAGAGCCCGUAAGAAAUCCUAAGAUCCAAUUUGAUUCUUAACUAAUUGAAAAUAAUUGGAACCCUAAAACCCAAAAUCAUCCCCCCAACCUCUACAAAAUACAUGGUUAAAAUCUUGAGUUCUUCGCUGAUAUCUUCUUAGGCAGAGGUGUGAACACGGCGGCAGAGUGGAAAGGCAAGGAAAAAUUUGAGAAGAAAUUUCAUAUGGUACGAGAACUUGCUGAAAGAGAGAAAGAAGUUUUGUUUUUGUUUUUCUUUCAGAAAAGAGAGCGAUAUCACGUGUUUCCUUUUCAUCUGUUCUUUUAUGAGCUGUCAAGACUUUAUUGAUUGUGCCUAAAAUUUAGGUGUUGUAACUGUGCCUAGAGAAGAGUUUCU